UACGAAGGGGGCUAGCGUUGUUCGGAAUUACUGGGCGUAAAGGGCGCGUAGGCGGUCUUGUAAGUCAGGCGUGAAAGGCCCGGGCUCAACCUGGGGACUGCGCUUGAUACUGUGAGGCUUGAAUCCGGGAGAGGAUGGCGGAAUUCCCAGUGUAGAGGUGAAAUUCGUAGAUAUUGGGAAGAACACCGGUGGCGAAGGCGGCCAUCUGGACCGGUAUUGACGCUGAGGCGCGAAAGCGUGGGGAGCAAACAGG
rnacentral:rRNA from 1 species